CCUACGGGUUGCAGCAGUGGGGAAUAUUGCACAAUGGGCGCAAGCCUGAUGCAGCCAUGCCGCGUGUAUGAAGAAGGCCUUCGGGUUGUAAGGUACUUUCAGCGGGGAGGAAGGUGUUGUGGUUAAUAACCACAGCAAUUGGCGUUACCCGCAGAAGAAGCACCGGCUAACUCCGUGCCAGCAGCCGCGGUAAUACGGAGGGUGCAAGCGUCAAUCGGAAUUACUGGGCGUAAAGCGCACGCAGGCGGUCUGUCAAGUCGGAUGUGAAAUCCCCGGGCUCAACCUGGGAACUGCAUUCGAAACUGGCAGGCCAGAGUCUUGUAGAGGGGGGUAGAAUUCCAGGUGUAGCGGUGAAAUGCGUAGAGAUCUGGAGGAGUACCGGUGGCGAAGGCGGCCCCCUGGACAAAGACUGACGCUCAGGUGCGAAAGCGUGGGGAGCAAACAGGAUUAGAUACCCUCGUAG
rnacentral:rRNA from 1 species